UCUCUCGCCUCUUUCUUCUCUACCGCUCUAGUCAUCCAGGCUCUCUUACUCUUAGUCUCAAGGAGCCGAAUCGCACUGCAAGGACGUCAAGCACAGCCUCAUGGAGAUCGCCAUGAUCAUGAAGACCAGAUCGAUGGCCAAGGAUUUGAGCGGGACUGUGAGAGAGAAACUCUCGGUUGUGUGCGCGAUCAACGACGAGGAUUCCAACGAUUUUCAGCAAGAGAUUACCGACGACGAUGUUGAGGGAAUGGAUGAGCUUGUUCGUGGCGGUAACUUGAGAAGAACCUCAGGUUUGUGCUCCUGCAGCAAAGUAAGUAUCUUUCUCUCUAGCUCAAUUUCUUCUGUAGAUGAAUAAAUGCAAAAAGACUUGUAUUUUGGUUGCUGAAAAUUGUGACAUCAGUAAUUCUAUAACAUAAUCUUAAUUAUAUCUCAAUUCAAUUGUUUCACCAUGUCAUUUCGGGGGAAGAAGUCCAGAUCCGAUCAUGUUCUUUUUGCACUUUCAAAGAUUAAGAGUAAUCUGGAGUAGGUGCUACUGGUCAUAUCGGGAGACGAGGCAUUGCUUCUGUACACUCAGAUUGAGAUUUGCAGUUGUUUGCUUCAUUGUUUUUGUGCAUGGUGUUCCAUUUGUUUCAAUUGGGUCGUCGGUGAAGCUCUGAAAUGGCUGCUGGUUACAUCCCAGAAGCCAUAUUUUUGGGAAUACUAAAGUUGAGGAGCGUUGUGUUUUG